GACGAACGCUGGCGGCGUGCUUAACACAUGCGAGUCGAACGGAAAGGCCCUGCUUUUGUGGGGUGCUCGAGUGGCGAACGGGUGAGUAACACGUGAGUAACCUGCCCUUGACUUUGGGAUAACUUCAGGAAACUGGGGCUAAUACCGGAUAUGAGCUCCUGCUGCAUGGUGGGGGUUGGAAAGUUUCGGCGGUUGGGGAUGGACUCGCGGCUUAUCAGCUUGUUGGUGGGGUAGUGGCUUACCAAGGCUUUGACGGGUAGCCGGCCUGAGAGGGUGACCGGCCACAUUGGGACUGAGAUACGGCCCAGACUCCUACGGGAGGCAGCAGUGGGGAAUAUUGCACAAUGGGCGGAAGCCUGAUGCAGCAACGCCGCGUGCGGGAUGACGGCCUUCGGGUUGUAAACCGCUUUCGCCUGUGACGAAGCGUGAGUGACGGUAAUGGGUAAAGAAGCGCCGGCUAACUACGUG
rnacentral:rRNA from 1 species